rnacentral:sRNA from 1 species
GCUGGGCAUGGUGGUGCACACCUGUAAUCUCAGCAGCUCAGGAGGCUGAGGCAGGAGGAUUGCAAAUUCAAAGCCUUUCUCAGCAACUUAGCGAGGCCCUAAGUGACUCAGCGAGAUCCUGUCUCAA